rnacentral:sRNA from 1 species
AUAGCACGUUGUGAAAACUAUUUGAUCCAAUUCUAUCUACUCCACACUUCUUAAAGAUUUCGAUUUUUUAAAAAUAAAUUUUAUUUCUUUUGAGGUCUAGCAAUUCAACCAUCAAAUAUGAUCUUAGGGGUGGGCGCAAGGCGAGUACUUGCUAUUUUAGGGAUAUUUGUUACUCGACUUGCCUUGUAUGAGUAAUCAAAAUAAGUACUUAUAUUUGGCUUGUUAAAAACGAGUACUUGCAAUUUCAAGUACUUGCUAAAAUAUGAUUGCCUUGCGAGCUACUUGCCUUGUCAUGUUACUUGCUACUUGCGAGUUACUUACACUUACUUGCGAGUUAUUACUUGUUAUUUGCGAAUUAUUUACAAGUAUUUACGAGUUAUUACUUGCUACUUGCGAGUUACUUACAAGUUAUUUGCAAGUAUUUGAGAGUUACUUGCAAGUAACACUUUCGAAUUACUUGAAAUUACUUAAUACUUUAUUUAUCAUAU